GACGAACGCUGGCGGCGUGCUUAACACAUGCAAGUCGAACGGAAAGGCCCUGCUUUUGUGGGGUGCUCGAGUGGCGAACGGGUGAGUAACACGUGAGUAACCUGCCCUUGACUUUGGGAUAACUUCAGGAAACUGGGGCUAAUAACGGAUAGGAGCUCCUGCUGCAUGGUGGGGGUUGGAAAGUUUCGGCGGUUGGGGAUGGACUCGCGGCUUAUCAGCUUGUUGGUGGGGUAGUGGCUUACCAAGGCUUUGACGGGUAGCCGGCCUGAGAGGGUGACCGGCCACAUUGGGACUGAGAUACGGCCCAGACUACUACGGGAGGCAGCAGUGGGGAAUAUUGCACAAUGGGCGGAAGCCUGAUGCAGCAACGCCGCGUGCGGGAUGACGGCCUUCGGGUUGUAAACCGCUUUCGCCUGUGACGAAGCGUGAGUGACGGUAAUGGGUAAAGAAGCACCGGCUAACUACGUG
rnacentral:rRNA from 1 species